UCAGAGCUGGUGUGUUUUCAGGGUGUGGUGUCUGAAAGGAUCAGUGUGAACAACAGGACUGCCCACUCUGGACACACACACUCAGGUGUGCGUCUCACUCUUUGUGACCAAGCUGGGAGGAGUCUGCAGGUGUACCUGGACUUAAGCCACACCCCCUACCCACCUGGCCUGUUGCCGGGUAACACUCUGCUGUUGUCUGGUUUCCAGAGGAGGCUGUCCAGGACAGGAAGUGUGUACUGCACGUACUUACCUGUCAGCUCGAUAACUGUGGUCUCCCUGGGAGACACCAG